rnacentral:lncRNA from 1 species
UGAUUUAAUAUCUCCCCAUAAAUCUCUUCUUCCUUCCAUUGUAUUCUCAGCAUAGAAAAACGAACACAGGAACUCCUCUACUUCCCCUUCCACCAGAACUGAAACCGUAAUUAUUUGACCUGGCUUGAAAAUCGGCGUAAUGUGUACUUGUGAAUUCCACAUAACCCAAAUCCUCCCUUUCCUGCUGCACUCGUAGUUACUGAUAAAUGAACAUUCAGAAAAAAUNNNNNNNNNNNNNNNGUGAAUUCCACAUAACCCAAAUCCUCCCUUUCAUGCUGAACUCGUAGUUACUGAUAAAUGACCAUUCAGUAAACAUUGUUGACAUGAUCCUUUGAGCCUUGUUUUCCCUCACUCUAGUUUCCAACAACCCUCCAAAAAGUAAACCUUUAGACUGAAUCCAAUUCUUCACCACUUCUUGUUUUGCAUACCGAUUGAACCCUCUCA